ACAUUGUAGCUUGCUACAGAUGACGACCGGCGCACGGGUGAGUAACGCGUAUGCAACCUGCCUUUGACAGGGGGAUAGCCCGGAGAAAUCCGGAUUAAUAUCCCAUGGUAUUUACGAAUCGCAUGGUUUGUAAAUUAAAGAUUUUAUCGGUCAAAGAUGGGCAUGCGUGACAUUAGCUAGUUGGUAAGGUAACGGCUUACCAAGGCUGCGAUGUCUAGGGGUUCUGAGAGGAUGAUCCCCCACACUGGUACUGAGACACGGACCAGACUCCUACGGGAGGCAGCAGUGAGGAAUAUUGGUCAAUGGGCGCAAGCCUGAACCAGCCAUCCCGCGUGAAGGAAGACUGCCCUAUGGGUUGUAAACUUCUUUUCUGCACCAAGAAUGGUUACUACGUGUAGUGAUUUGACGGUAGUGCAGGAAUAAGCAUCGGCUAACUCCGUGCCAGCAGCCGCGGUAAUACGGAGGAUGCAAGCGUUAUCCGGAUUCAUUGGGUUUAAAGGGUACGUAGGUGGCCAAUUAAGUCAGUGGUGAAAUCCUGCCGCUUAACGGUAGAACUGCCAUUGAAACUGGUUGGCUUGAGUACAGUUGAGGUAGGCGGAAUGUGUAGUGUAGCGGUGAAAUGCUUAGAUAUUACACAGAACCCCGAUUGCGAAGGCAGCUUACUAAACUGUAACUGACACUGAGGUACGAAAGCGUGGGGAGCGAACAGGAUUAGAUACCCUGGUAGUCCACGCUGUAAACGAUGCUCACUCGCUGUAUGCGAUACAUUGUAUGCGGCCAAGCGAAAGUCUUAAGUGAGCCACCUGGGGGAGUACGUUGGCAACAGUGAAACUCAAAGGAAUUGACGGGGGCCCGCACAAGCGGAGGAACA
rnacentral:rRNA from 1 species